UAGGGAAUCUUCCGCAAUGGGCGAAAGCCUGACGGAGCAACGCCGCGUGAGUGAUGAAGGUCUUCGGAUCGUAAAACUCUGUUAUUAGGGAAGAACAAAUGUGUAAGUAACUAUGCACGUCUUGACGGUACCUAAUCAGAAAGCCACGGCUAACUACGUGCCAGCAGCCGCGGUAAUACGUAGGUGGCAAGCGUUAUCCGGAAUUAUUGGGCGUAAAGCGCGCGUAGGCGGUUUUUUAAGUCUGAUGUGAAAGCCCACGGCUCAACCGUGGAGGGUCAUUGGAAGCUGGAAAACUUGAGUGCAGAAGAGGAAAGUGGAAUUCCAUGUGUAGCGGUGAAAUGCGCAGAGAUAUGGGGGAACACCAGUGGCGAAGGCGACUUUCUGGUCUGUAACUGACGCUGAUGUGCGAAAGCGGGGGGAUCAAACAGG
rnacentral:rRNA from 1 species